GAUGAACGCUGGCGGCGUGCCUAAUACAUGCAAGUCGAGCGAACGGACGAGAAGCUUGCUUCUCUGAUGUUAGCGGCGGACGGGUGAGUAACACGUGGAUAACCUACCUAUAAGACUGGGAUAACUUCGGGAAACCGGAGCUAAUACCGGAUAAUAUUUUGAACCGCAUGGUUCAAAAGUGAAAGACGGUCUUGCUGUCACUUAUAGAUGGAUCCGCGCUGCAUUAGCUAGUUGGUAAGGUAACGGCUUACCAAGGCAACGAUGCAUAGCCGACCUGAGAGGGUGAUCGGCCACACUGGAACUGAGACACGGUCCAGACUCCUACGGGAGGCAGCAGUAGGGAAUCUUCCGCAAUGGGCGAAAGCCUGACGGAGCAACGCCGCGUGAGUGAUGAAGGUCUUCGGAUCGUAAAACUCUGUUAUUAGGGAAGAACAUAUGUGUAAGUAACUGUGCACAUCUUGACGGUACCUAAUCAGAAAGCCACGGCUAACUACGUGCCAGCAGCCGCGGUAAUACGUAGGUGGCAAGCGUUAUCCGGAAUUAUUGGGCGUAAAGCGCGCGUAGGCGGUUUUUUAAGUCUGAUGUGAAAGCCCACGGCUCAACCGUGGAGGGUCAUUGGAAACUGGAAAACUUGAGUGCAGAAGAGGAAAGUGGAAUUCCAUGUGUAGCGGUGAAAUGCGCAGAGAUAUGGAGGAACACCAGUGGCGAAGGCGACUUUCUGGCCUGUAACUGACGCUGAUGUGCGAAAGCGUGGGGAUCAAACAGGAUUAGAUACCCUGGUAGUCCACGCCGUAAACGAUGAGUGCUAAGUGUUAGGGGGUUUCCGCCCCUUAGUGCUGCAGCUAACGCAUUAAGCACUCCGCCUGGGGAGUACGACCGCAAGGUUGAAACUCAAAGGAAUUGACGGGGACCCGCACAAGCGGUGGAGCAUGUGGUUUAAUUCGAAGCAACGCGAAGAACCUUACCAAAUCUUGACAUCCUUUGACAACUCUAGAGAUAGAGCCUUCCCCUUCGGGGGACAAAGUGACAGGUGGUGCAUGGUUGUCGUCAGCUCGUGUCGUGAGAUGUUGGGUUAAGUCCCGCAACGAGCGCAACCCUUAAGCUUAGUUGCCAUCAUUAAGUUGGGCACUCUAAGUUGACUGCCGGUGACAAACCGGAGGAAGGUGGGGAUGACGUCAAAUCAUCAUGCCCCUUAUGAUUUGGGCUACACACGUGCUACAAUGGACAAUACAAAGGGCAGCGAAACCGCGAGGUCAAGCAAAUCCCAUAAAGUUGUUCUCAGUUCGGAUUGUAGUCUGCAACUCGACUACAUGAAGCUGGAAUCGCUAGUAAUCGUAGAUCAGCAUGCUACGGUGAAUACGUUCCCGGGUCU
rnacentral:rRNA from 1 species